GACGAACGCUGGCGGGGUGCUUAACACAUGCAAGUCGAACGGAAAGGCCCCUUUGGGGGUACUCGAGUGGCGAACGGGUGAGUAACACGUGAGUAACCUGCCCUUGACUUCGGGAUAACUUCAGGAAACUGGGGCUAAUACCGGAUAGGAAUCCUUGCUGCAUGGUGGGGGUUGGAAAGCUUCGGCGGUUUUGGAUGGACUCGCGGCUUAUCAGCUUGUUGGUGGGGUAGUGGCUUACCAAGGCUUUGACGGGUAGCCGGCCUGAGAGGGCGACCGGCCACAUUGGGACUGAGAUACGGCCCAGACUCCUACGGGAGGCAGCAGUGGGGAAUAUUGCACAAUGGGCGGAAGCCUGAUGCAGCAACGCCGCGUGCGGGAUGACGGCCUUCGGGUUGUAAACCGCUUUCAGCAGGGGCGAAGCUUGUGGUGACGGUACCUGCAGAAGAAGCACCGGCUAACUACGUG
rnacentral:rRNA from 1 species